UUUGUUACUUUUUGUCAAAAUAAUUGUUCUGACAGCAAUUUUUUCCCCGACAGAGAAGGAAGUCAAAGCGGACACCUACGAAGAUGUCAUCUCAGGUAAGCAGCACUGGGCUGUAUUGACGUAUCCUCAUAUCUCAGUUAUUGUUUUCUUUACUUUCAGAGAGCAAGCUGACCAAGGGGGUCGAAAAUGUAGAUAUUGCCAGAUGUUCACUGUGUGAGGACCAGGCCGUGGAAGCUUUAUUGCUGGCAAAGUGUCCCUAACCAGAGCCAUUUUCACUGGACUAUCUGUUGCUGCUAAGUCAUGGGUUAGCCUUGCAAUAACCAAGUGGUUAUAUCAGCUGUUAUUUUGAACCUCUCCCGCAUCUGAACUGGCUGACAGAGGGCACAGCCUGAUCAUAGGUAUGUUUUGAUGUGAGAGGAAUCCAGUCCCGACAGCGCAAUUGUGAUGAACUGAGAGAAUAUUAGGGUAGCACUGUCAUUCAGGAAUCAUAUGCUAUCUGCCGCUGUUCUUACCUCUCUACCCACCUCAUCUUCUAAUGCACACCAUAUGUGCAUUGAAGUACAGAUCUGCCUACCAUUUCUUUUUUAACUAGGCAAGUCAGAUAAGAAUGACGGCCUAAGAACUGCCUUGUUCAGGGACAGAAGGACAGACCUUGUCGGCUCGGGGAUUCGAUCUUGCAACCUUCCGGUUACUAGUCCACCUACCCGCCCAAGAUUGAACUUGUAUUUAUAAUAUUACAAUUAAAAUGCACUUCUUUCAAUAAAGCGUUUCACAUUC